AAGUGCGGAAUAACCUGGCGAAAGUCGGGCUAAUGCCGCAUGUGGUUUUCCGGCGCCUGUCGGAAGGACUAAAGGCGGGGAUCUUCGGACCUAGCGCUCAGAGAGGAGCCCGCGUCCGAUUAGCUAGUUGGUGAGGUAACGGCUCACCAAGGCGACGAUCGGUAGCCGGCCUGAGAGGGUGACCGGCCACACUGGGACUGAGACACUGCCCAGACUCCUACGGGAGGCUGCAGUCGAGGAUCAUUUGCAAUGCGCGAAAGCGUGACAAUGCGACGCUGCGUGGAGGACGAAGGCCUUCGGGUUGUAAACUCCUGUCAUGCGGGAACAAUACCCCGGCGUUAAUAGCGGCGGGAUUGAUGGUACCGCAAGAGGACGCGACGGCUAACUUCGUGCCAGGAGCCGCGGUAAUACGAAGGUCGCUAGCGUAGUACGGAUUUACUGGGCCGUAAGCGGUGCGCAGGUGGUAGCCCGGUGUCGGGAGGUAAAAUUCCCGGGGGUCAAGCCCCGGAACUUGAUCCGGAAACUGCGGCCUCGAGUACAGGGAUGGGAGAGCGGAAUUCAGGGUGUAGCGCGAGAAUGCGUUGAUAUCCUGAAGUACACCGGUGCCUAUGGCCGGCUCUCUGGAAUGUUACUGACACUGAGGCACGAUAGCUUAGGGAGCAAACAGGAUUAGAUACCCUGGUAGUCUACGCCGUAAACGUUGCGUACUUGGCAUGGGAGCGUAUUAACCCCUUCCGUGCCGGAGCUAACGCGUUAAGUACGCCGCCUGGGGAGUACGGCCGCAAGGUUAAACUCAAAGAAAUUGACGGGGGCCCGCACAAGCGGAGGAGCAUGUGGCUUAAUUCGAUGCUACGCGAAGAACCUUACCAGGGCUUGACAUGGUACUGCACGCCCCGUGAAAGCGGGGUAGCCUUCGAGGGUGUACCACAGGUGCUGCAUGGCUGUCGUCAGUUCGUGCCGUGAGGUGUUUGGUUAAGUCCAGCAACGAACGCUACCCCUAUGUUUAGUUGCCACCGGUGGUGAUGAGCCACCGAGCACUCUAGACAGACUGCCCGUACAAGCGGGAGGAAGGUGGGGAUGACGUCAAGUCAGUAUGGCCCUUACGUCCUGGGCUGCACACGUGCUACAAUGGUCGAUACAGUGGGCUGCAAUACCG
rnacentral:rRNA from 1 species